GUCGGCGCCAUCUUUGUUUCGCCGCACCGCUCUCUACACAGAGUCUCUCUUACUUCAGGCUGACGCUGUGGUGCGACCCGUGUUGUUUGGACAUUUUAAACACAGCUGUGUGAAGCCGGCCGGCCUGAGUCGACUCAGAAUAGGGAAGGGCACAAGAAUCCAAGACAAAUUUGUCCUGGGAACAUGGUUUGAACUUCCUCUUUUGGUCCAGCCGUACCAGAAAGCAUUUCACCCCUGCAUGUCAUUGUGGGAUCCCUUCUCCCAGUGUGAGUUGGGCUCCUGUGUGGAAUCACUAAUAAAACCACAGCUUUCCACCGA
rnacentral:lncRNA from 1 species